AAUCAACGCUGGCGGCGUGCCUAACACAUGCAAGUCGAACGCGAAAGUCCCGCAAGGGAUGAGUAGAGUGGCAAACGGGUGAGUAACACGUGGGUGACCUGCCUUCGAGUGGGGGAUAACGUCCCGAAAGGGACGCUAAUACCGCAUAACAUCCUGCCUUUGAACAGGUGGUGAUCAAAGCGUCGGGGACCCGCGAAGGGCCGUGGCGCGUGGAAGGACGGGGCCCGCGUCUGAUUAGCAGGUUGGUGGGGUAACGGCUCACCAAGGCAACGAUCAGUAUCCGGCCUGAGGAGGGCGGACGGACACACUGGGACUGAGACACGGCCCAGACU
rnacentral:rRNA from 1 species